rnacentral:rRNA from 1 species
UUAAAAUGAGAGUUUGAUCCUGGCUCAGGAUGAACGCUGGCGGCGUGCCUAAUACAUGCAAGUCGAACGCUUUGUCUUUAAUUGAUCUGACGAGCUUGCUCUGAUGUGAUUUUAUCUGACAAAGAGUGGCGAACGGGUGAGUAACACGUGGGUAACCUACCUCUUAGCAGGGGAUAACAUUUGGAAACAAGUGCUAAUACCGUAUAAUACCAACAACCGCAUGGUUGUUGGUU